rnacentral:rRNA from 1 species
GAUGAACGCUAGCGGCAGGCUUAAUACAUGCAAGUCGAGGGGCAGCAUGGGUGUAGCAAUACACCUGAUGGCGACCGGCAAACGGGUGCGGAACACGUACACAACUUACCCAGGACUGGGGCAUAGCCCUCCGAAAGGAGGAUUAACACCCCAUAAGAUAGUAGAGUGGCAUCACUUCGCUAUUAAAUCUCCGGAGGUCCCGGAUGGGUGUGCGGCUGGUUAGGUAGUUGGCGGGGUAACGGCCCACCAAGCCUUCGAUCAGUAACUGGUGUGAUAGAACGACCAGUCACCAGGGCACUGAGACACGGGCCCGACUCCUACGGGAGGCAGCAGUAAGGAAUAUUGGUCAAUGGACGCAAGUCUGAACCAGCCAUGCCGCGUGAAGGAUGAAGGUCCUCUGGAUUGUAAACUUCUUUUAUGGGGGACGAAAUCAACGUUUCUACGUUGUCUGACGGUACCCUAGGAAUAAGCACCGGCUAACUCUGUGCCAGCAGCCGCCGUAAUAC